GUUCCGGCAUGUCGGAUGCUCCCUGUGCUCCGGCCUGACCCUCUAAGGCUGAGGAGGGGUUAAAGGUCAGGUCGCUGUGUGGAUGGUUGCCGGGAGCGGCCUGUGGUGGCUGCCGGGGAGGCUGGGAAGGAGGAGGAGCCCCACUGUGAUGUAAUGGAGGCCCUGCCUGGCUGCUGGGGUGUGGUACGUGCAAACCUUGUUGUAUGGAGGGAUGGGGCUGGUCAGAACUGCCAGCGUGGGGCAUCUGUGGAGGAGGAGAGAGCAGGAGAAAAGAGAGGUGAGGUGACGGAGGCACAACGACGGGAUGCCUGGAGAAAAUGAAAACCGAACAAACCAGGAAGUAACGGACCCCAAAACGAGGGCACCCCUCAACAGAGAACAAUGAUCCGCCGUUGAGGGACGGGGUAGAAAAAAAACAAACAAAUCGUCCUCUCCAGAAACCAACAACCAGGAAGGCUGUGAAGGGACAAGUGGAGAAGGCCUUCACAAAGCCUAGGAAGGGCCUCGAGCCAGCACAGGCCAGAGAGCCUCCCACCCCCACACUGUCACAACAAACAACAGCGAGGCCAGAAUGGACAAGCAAAUGGACGUGUUUCUGGGAAGCGGUAGCUGCUGGCAGCGUGGUGCAGGGCCCUCCCCCGAGGACCAGGGCAGUGCAGAGCAGGCGUGGACACAGCACGGGCAGGCGUGCAGCUCCCCCUGGCUGGCAGUAAAGAGGAGACAGCCAGGCUGCACCUCCCUAGUCGAGGCCACACUUACUGUUGGAUGGCGUUCAGGAUCCCCCACAUGUACUGAUCCACUUCCAGACCCUCGAGCAGAGCAGUUUUACUGGAAGAGAAGAACAGAGGCUUGGUCUUUGCGCCUGGAGGCAGGACACAGCCCGCCCACCUCCACUGUCCUGCCACUGUGGAUACAAUGGAGGCACAGAGUGCAAUAUAGCAGUGAAAUCCAAGGCCCAUGCCUCUGUGGGGCUGGUUUUGCCUGAAGGGUAGGUAAAGCAGCUAAGAGGCCCAAGAAGAGGCCAGAGGGCACCUCUGCUCUGCAAGGUGGGUAUUGCUUACUUGCACACGGGACACCUCCAGGUCCCUCGCUCACAAUUCAGUUGGAGGUAUGACUCCAGGUCAAAGCACUGCAGAAGUGAGAGACAGAGAGAUAGGUAAGAUCAGGACUGUCAGAAAAUGCCUUGCUGUGGCUCUGGACUCUUGGGAAGACUUCAGUGCUGGGGAAGAACUCUUCUCUUACUCCAUAGAACCACAGAACAGCCAUGCUGUGUCUGCCACGGCCCUCACAGAUCUCUUCCCUGUCCUCGAGUAAGCCCUUCUGGACCCAACACCCCAGCCAAGUCUCACUGCUUUUGCCUCUUACUGAGGCCGGGACCAGUGUGGACUCUGGCAGUCCCCUUAAUCCAUCCCAGGGACCCAGGGUAACUCUGUUGAUCAGCCUGUAUCAGACAAAGCAAUCACAUCAUGUCCGUACCUACAAACUCAGAGGGAGGCAGUCCUGUCUGCCACUUAGCUUUCAGGAUGAACUAACUGUGCUUCACAGUGUGGCGAUGAUGGUGUAAUUGGCUCUGCCAUCCUUGCACCCCUGUCGUGGGACCCUGUCUUGGCCAACCCCUACACAACCGGUCUUUGCUAGUCUAGGUUGCCUCUUUCUUGAACCUGUGGUGUCUAGCCAGGACUUUCUGCUGGCCUACGAUACCUGAUUGUCUAUUUCUGCAUUACUACCCCUCCCCAGGGCCUCAGAGAUGGACCUGAAGGAGAAAACAAGACUGAGAGAGCACGAGAUACUGGCUGCCGAUGGCCGCAAUGUCUCUCAGGCAGCAACAGGCUCUGUUGGCCCUUGGCCUGCCCCUUGUCACCCUGCUAACUCUGUACAGCCUGGGCCUGCUCACCUGCACAUGCUUGCAAUCGUGGCCUCGAGCAGGCAGCUGUAUGCGCCGGAAUGUGAUGGGGCACUUCAGAGACACCUUGAUGGCGGUCUGCUCCACGCCAUCCUCCCCAUUGAGAGUUGUGUUGCCCGAGGAGGCAGCCACACUGCUGAAAUUCCGCUUGACUGUGAGUGAGGAGGCAGAGGGUGAGGGCUGGGUGCUCCACUGAGGAAAUUGGAUCUCAGCAGCUCCUAAACACGGCUUGGAUUCCCCACCCCUGCAUCCCACAUGCCACACAUGCCAUGUGCAGGUGAGAGAGAAAGGACUAAGGAGGAUCCCUUUUCUGAAGAACAAACCCUACCCCUGGGAGCAAGAACUUUCUGCCAAGCUUGCAGAAACUUAGUCUGGUGCUGCUCCUGAUUUAACUGGGUCAGCAAAAAGCCCCCUUAGGCGCUUUUGCACCUAACUGCAAGAGUAGGAAUAGAAACCAGACUGUGUGGAGGUGUUCAGGGGCUGGGGGGGGGGGGGGGGAGGGGGGAGGAGGAGACACCAAGGACAGAACUAUAGGGAGGAUAGUACAUCCCACAAGAGGUGCUCCAGAACUUGGCAGCCUGGGCAUCACUACCUCUUGAGGCCAGCCCCGCCCAACCUGUCCCCAUCCACCCACCCAAACUCACUUUUCGUGAUGCAGUGCUCAGCGGGCAGUAGGCGCUUCUUGAGGAGGCCCUGCAGCACGGAGCGCACAGAGGGCCGGUGUACCAGCUGCAGCACAAAGAGGUGGGACUGCAGAGAGAACAGAGGGGCUCAGUGAGGUUCACAGUUCUCAUACCUGCCUCAGGGCUGACCCAUGACGAAGCCCCUCUAGGAGAGGGUAUCCAGGAGGAAGAGGGGCCUGCAAAUCACAAGGUCCAGCAUUGGGAGGCAGGGCCUCUGGAGUGACUGUCUGUGCUCCAGGCUAAGAUGGUGGAUUUUCCACUGCAAAGCCACCUGGUUGAGAGGUUACAGGACUAGAACUUAGCAUGUUCACUGCUUUCCUGUCCUUUCUGCCCUUGUCAAGUGAGCCUAUCCCUGCCACCCCGCCUCCAGGAUGCCUUCUAGACCUGUGUAUCCCAACUCUUCAUGCUAUGGCUGUGCAGCCUCCUGAAGCAUCCCCCAGCCUAAAAGGCUAAUCUCUGUGGUAUCGUCCCCUCUGAAAAGACAGGCAGGACCAGAGUGUUUCCUUCUGGAUCCUUCAGAGACAGCAACAGAAUCAGCAGGCGGUGACAGUGAUCUGGAUGGUGUUCCGGCCAGGCUGGCAUACAUGCUUGAGGUGCAGGGGCUUGUGGGAGGUCUUGUUGUCUCCCCGCUCGAUCGUGAGGGGUGUGGCGUUGACGCUGACCUGAACCGAGGCUGGCCAGUUGGUGUUCAUCUGUCGAUCUUCAUGGUGGUAGCACUUGAACUGCAGCUCCAGGUCUGACCUGGGGUGGGCAGGGUGGGCAUCAAGCCUGCGUUCCCAGGGACCCCACCCCUUGGCCACAGCCUUUCCCUCUCCCUCACCCCAGGAGCAGUGCUUCUCAACCUUUCCAAGGCUGCGACCCUUUAGUACAGUUCCUCAUGUUGUGGGGACCCCUGGCCAUAACAUUAUUUUUGUUGCUACUUCAUAACUGUAAUGUUGCUACUGUUAUGAAUUGCAAUGUAAAUAUCCGAUAUGCAGGAUAUCUGAUACUCAACCCCCAAAGGGUUGUGACCCACUAUUCUGGAGAUUUUCCCUGCAAGCACAAAGCCCUUCCAUCUCCACAGCCUACAUAUGACAGUCACAUCCACAGCCGUGGCUGCCCUGCCCGACUAAGAGUGACUCCUCUUCCCUACAACAGGUUCAGAAGGACAAAAGGACAGAUGUUGUGGGACAAGACCAGUAGCAAGGCCCAUUGUGACCAUCUCCAGGUGGAGGCAGGAGCGUCAUCUUUGCACCAUGUUUGUCUGAGUGCUCAGAAGCCUCAGGCCUCCUGCCUUACAUCUUAGCUCCUGUCUCCCGAAUGCCACCCAGUUUUGCCUGCAACAGCCCACUGAUCAUCUAAAGCUGGAUCAAAAAGAAAAGCACUGCCUCCUUCAAGAUCUCAGAGGUCAUGUGCAGAGCCUCCUGGCCCAGGCACUUGAGCACAGCCCUAUGGGUGGGCAGCAUCAGACACUGGUCACCCCCUUGCACUUUAUUGGUGAGCAUACCUAGCCUAGCUCUGCUGUUCUCGGCAGCCUCUUCACACUGGCAUCCCUGGCAACAUGUGUCAUGUUCGGGUUGCUGUUUUCCCCUUUUGCUAACCUGUCACCUUGAGAUAGCCUCUUCCCAGCCCAUAGGGCUCUCUGCUAGGCUCCUCACCCUCCAGAAAGUCCAGCCAAUACUUAGGACUCGGGUAACAGCUGUUUCCAGCUGUUGAUGCUUGGUCCCUCUCCUGUGAGUUCCCUGGGACAUUCUCUGGGCUUUACAUAGUCCAGGACCCUGUCAAUGAUGCUGAGAAGGCAACAGGAAGCUGCUGCCAGCACCUGUGCAGGACCAGAGCCCGGGGUAGGAAGUCACCAUGCAGGCCACCUCACCUCCACAUCAGCGUCUGAUGAACCGUGGGCCGCAGGUGGAACACGUGGUUGCUGACGGCAAGGUUGUGCUCCAGGCGGAAGGGCUCCAGAACCACGCCAUCCCGCACGGGGAAUGUGAGCCGUAGCUCGUCAUUGUGGUUGGCUGGGCAAAGACAAGGAGCAUGUGAGUGGCAAGCACCCCAGCCUCACAGGUGCUGGGGCUGAAGCGGGACUCGCGCAUCCACGGGACACUACUUUGGGAAGCAUGCUCAGACAACACAAAUGUGGGCCAUACGCCACAGAAGGUGUGGUGUGCCCAACCUCGGGCUGGGAGCCUCUGGCUUCCUCGAGCUCAGCUGGCUCACCCCACCCUGCAAUCCCGUUCCUCUCACUGGCCUCUCAGUACCUGAAGAUCCAUGCUCUUCUGGUGGCUGGGAAUAAGGAGGCCUAUGGUCCAGCCCCCACACCAACUAUCACUGGGAUUGGGGAGUCCUUGUUCUCAGCCCUCCUGCCUUUUCUGCAUAACUCCCACCUCAGUCUAGCUUCUGAACCCUCUGAUCCUGCCCACUGAGGGUCCCCAAGGUCAACUGAAGAAUAGGGGGUAUGGGCUCCUCACCUGGGGGUGGUGGCAGAGCACUCAUAUUUGGCUUGAUAUCAGGUGGGAAAGGUGGUUUGACAUCUUGGCUGGGGGACAGAUAGGGAGGUAUGCUGCUCCCGGGCGUCAUGGGGGGAGUGGGGUUCCCUGGAACAGGUGAGUGGGGGUAAUUCGCCACAGGAACCGGCCUGGGAGGCUGGAAAAAAAGAGAUCAGAAAUAGGUUAUGAACUCUGAGAGGUAAUGGGUCAGGCUGUGGACAUAUGCUCUACCUGUGCCAAGUUCUACCCAAGGGCUACUCCUCCCAGCACGGGAGGGGAGUCACCAGAGGACUCACGCUCUCCUGCAGGAUCCGGCUUCUUCUGGAGGACAGGGGGGACUGGGAAGAACCUUGCCCCUUAUUAAAGCCCACACUGCUGAAUCCCCCUCAGGGUUAGGUACAUUUGUGGCUUCCUAUAGCCAGGGGUCAAAGUGGACACAGAGGCCCAGUGUGCUAGGGACUUGUCUAACCUACACCAGGAGGAAAGAGCAGCUGGCCUCCCUGAAUUGUGAUUCUAGUCCAUAUUCCUUGACCCUGUUUGGGGCCCCUUUUCUCCUCACUGUCUUUGGUUUUCUGUAGUGCCCAUGCUUGUCCUUGGUCACACAUUGAAGCAGUGGACUCUAGGUCCCGAGCGUAUCUACGCCUCAGCAGAUGGCCACUCCCCCACCCGUGGACCCCUAAAACCUUGCAGAGGUGCUGGGGUGGGAAGGUAAGGGAUGUGUAAGCCUGCUGAUGCCUGCUGAGGGUCAGCUGGACUUUCUAAGCCCUCACCCUGUUGACGCUCCCUUGGCUGUAGCUGCUGUAGCUGCUUCCGGAGGAGAAGGUGUUGUUCUGUCCAUUAAACUGUUCUGGCUGUUGAAAUGAAAUGAGACAGAGGAGUAAGCAGAGCAGCCCCGCGGCCUGACUCCGCUGGAGACACGAGGGUUCUGGGGAAGAAGGCACCAAGACGGGGGUCUCUAGGACUAGUGUGGAAAGUGGAGGGGCCCGAGCUUUGCUCCUGUUAACAAUUUAGUAGACAUUUUCCACAGCAGUGAUGGGGAUUGCUGAAAUGAACACCCUUGAGCAAAGAUGGCAAACACGCUGAAGGGUAAACUCAAGAGGGGUUUUCCCUUCUGAGAAUGCAUUUUGCAGCAAUGGAAAAGGUUAAAGGCUCAGAGAUCUUCAUCAAAGCAGUAUUGUAAAAUCAAAAAAUGAGGAGUGAAUAUGGGAAGGAUGAGCUAGGGUGAGAUCAUCACCUCCAUGGGCUGCUGGGCAGCCAUUGAGACAGGGACAGAGACAUUCUAUAAGCAACAAGCAUACAACAUGUGCAGGGGGAACAGGCUCAAGAUUACAGUGGUGGUCAGCUUUGUCUUUCAGAAUUGUGCCUCCUCUGCCAUCAUUGUCUCAUGUACUGUGAAUGAAGGAGAGGAAGGCUAUUCUGAGCCCAGACACAGUUGAGCACUGACAGAAAGUCAGGACUGCACCCCCCACUCCUAAAGCUGUUGCAGGUGUGUUAGUUAUGUGGGUGCCCUGAAGAUGGAACUCACCUUGUAAUACUGCCCCAUGUUGACUGUGGGGGGUGGGUACUGUCCGGUGCUGGGUUGGCUCGGCAUCCUUUGUCCAGGGUAGUUGGGAGAUGUGAGUGGCCUUGGGGGGUUAGGGGUAGGGUACUGGCCUGGCUGGGUGGGGAACUGGCUGUUUGGUCCAUAUUGCUGGUUUCCAU
rnacentral:lncRNA from 1 species